UAUAUCUUAUUUUAAUGAAAAUUGAUAUCGUCCGCUCCAUUACCACCGUCCAAGUCCAUCGCCGUCGUCACGACUCACUCACACCACAGUCCAUCGCCGUAGUCAGUUGUCACGUACAUAUUCACUUGUCGUCGUCGACCGCUCUCGUCUCUCACACUCACAAGCAGAACUGAGAGACCUCGUCGCCUCGGUCCAUCAUCGACGCUCAGUGACUCAGCGGGUCAGACCACCGCUUUUCUGUCCAAGUUCCAACACUGAAACACUGAACAGUCCAAAAAUGUAUUCACCAAAUGAACAUCCUCCCACAGACUCACUUGCAGAAAACAAUCUUCAGCCAUUCUUCGUGCUACACAAGGCAUCAAAGUCUUCAGAGUCUACUGCAAUAUCUCUUGGAAAACCCUCCAAAAUAAGACUUGACUCUUCACCAAAAGUAUCAUUAAACAAUGAACACAAGAGUGAGAACCUGAAAAUGGAAGCUUUCCAGUGUGUAUGGUCAAAAAUUGAAUCCAAGAUUAAGGAUGUCUUGAGGAGUAUAAAUGCUGACGUGUUUGAUGAGAUAGGACGAUGGGUUCGUGAAUCUUUUAAUGAAAUUUGUUCGUGUAGAGGGCCUGUUGAUCCAUCAAAGUCAAGUCUUCCAUACCCUUUUGUUCAUAAUGGUGGUUUAGUUAAGAAGCUCUUCACUGCUCUGGUCUUCACCAAGAAUAUUGAAACUGUCGAUGACAUAUUAACGUUUGCUGAGCUUGGUUUAAACUUGAAAUCUCGUGGAUGCUAUGUGGCCAAUAUUUCCUCCUUGGAUUUUUCUACCAAGAAUGGCAUUGGGGGCUGUCUCAGAGCGUUUCUGAGACAAUUGCUUAUUGUUGACAUUGAAGCAGCUGAUGUUUCACUCUUAGCAUCAUGGUAUAGUGAACAUGGCAAGUAUGAGAAACCAGUGGUUGUAAUUAUUGAGGAUCUAGAGAGGUGUUCUGGGGUUCUAUUAUCAGAUUUCAUCAAUAUGUUAAGUGAAUGGUCUGUUAAGAUUCCAAUCAUCCUAAUUGCUGGUGUUGCUACAAGUGCUGAUGCUCCCAGAAAUGUGCUCACUUCCCGUGCACUUCAAUAUUUGUCUACAUCAAUAUUCUUUCUGAAAUGCCCAGCUGAAAGGUUGGAUGCAAUCAUUGAGGCUGUUCUAGUAAAAAAUUGUGCCAGCUUUACUGUUGGCCACAAGGUGGCGACUUUCUUGAGGAACUAUUUUUUAAGACAAGAUGGAACAGUUACUUCAUUUGUUAGAGCCUUAAAGAUGGCAUUAGUCCAACAACUUUCCAUUGAGCCUCUUAGCUUUUUGCUCAAGCUUUUAGUUGAUGAGGGAGAUAGUAAGAGGUCAUGGUAUGAGGAUCUUGCUAAUUUGCCAGACGAAUUGAUUAAACAUUCUUUUGAGCUUCCAUCUUACAGGAAGUAUUCAGUUCAUCGGAAUAAUCAUGUAGAACUAAAUGCGAGGAGUCUAGGCCAUGGACUAUCAGAACUGCAGAGGCUGCAGGAACUAUGGAGAUCUCGCCUUAUGUGUUUACAUGAAGCUGGAAGGUACCAUAAAGUUGCAUUAUUGGACUUGUAUAUGGAGGCAUUGGAUCCUGAGUUAUACAACUCCAGGUUAUCUAAUCAUGGCUGUGAUAGAGAUAAGAGCUUCUUGUCAAAUAAUGAUGAACUUUUCAAGCUACAAAAGGCUGAGGUUACCAAUCAAGUCAUCCGCAAAAUAAGGGAUCUACCAGCUGCGAAGCUAUCCCAGUUGCUUAAGAGUUGGGAGAGGCUCACCAAAGGGACAAUUGAGGUUCAUGAGAAGAUUAUGGAGCUACAGUCUCAAAUGAUAUCAGAGGAUGUCAAAAGUCACAAAGCAGAAUUAACUGAUAUAUCAAAGAGGCAUAUCAAUCGACGCUGUUUAAAUGUGGAGAAAGAUGAAUGCACAUCAAAUGAGAAAGCUGUGACUUUAGCAGGUCAAAUGAUAAGGGACACCAUGCAGCCCAUUGAGUGUAUACCAUUUCAUGAACUUAUUUGCUUCAAGGAUGUUGACAAUCUCCAAUCAGUUAAGUUUCCUGAUUUGCACUCAAGAUAUGACCGAUCACAGUAGGAUGCUGCUAUAUUUAUCAUCUACACCAAUCUAAAGACGUGUGCUUACUUAAGGGUUUCUGGUAAUUCAAAUUUCCUUGGUGCUUCAUCCACCUCAAUCUCUUUUUCCAGCAAGCACAUGGUUACCUAGCAAGCAUGAUUACUAUUACUAUUUGAAGUGAGACAGUUCUUGUAACCUGGUAAAGUUUGAUGCUAAUUGCAUUAUACUAUGUUUAAUAGAUAUCUUAACUGUAGCUAUCAACUUUGUCGUUGGUCAGACCAAGUUUCAGGAAUGCCUUUGUAUUUUGAUUCUUAUAUGUGCAAGAAUUUAGAUAGUUCAAUAUAUGGUACUAUCAGUAAUUCUAAACUCAUGUGUUUAAUACUUGCUUUUGUAUUUUCUAUAGUUUUCUUUUCUUUUUCUUAUUUUACUUGUCGACGGUGAGUCAGAAAUCAAGGUUAGUAAGAUUGGGUAAGUACAAUGUUUUUGUGAAUUUACAAGUCAUUGAUAGCUGGCACCACUUUGGAUUUCUAGAGCAUGGAUAUAUCUUGCUUGAGUUAGAGAUCAAAUUUUCUUGGCCGUAAUUCUGUGAUAACAAGGAAUAGCCUAGUGGAAAUGAACCUCUGCCUCCCAUCAUAAUGUUGGGAUUGAGUCACCAAGAGAGCAAAAUGGGAAAGAACCAGCCACCCAGAUGAGACUCCUGCUGAAAAAAACACUUUUUCCGGGGAAAGAACCUCUAUUUGGCUCCUGCCUUGGGGGGUAUGGCUUUGCCAUGUCACCUAUGCUUUGGCUGGUGAUCCAAGAAGAAGAAUACAAAUUGAUCUCUUGAAUUUCUACAAAAUUCUCAAGUGUGGAUGUUGCAGCAAUAGUGGUGGUACACUAUCGCCAUCUAUGCAUGAUACCUCAAUAAU